rnacentral:rRNA from 1 species
AUUGAACGCUGGCGGCAGGCCUAACACAUGCAAGUCGAACGAGUGGCGGACGGGUGAGUAAUGUCUGGGAAACUGCCUGAUGGAGGGGGAUAACUACUGGAAACGGUAGCUAAUACCGCAUACCAUCAGAUGUGCCCCAGUGGGAUUAGCUAGUUGGUGGGGUAACGGUUCACCAAGGCGACGAUCCCUAGCUGGUCUGAGAGGAUGACCAGCCAGACUGGAACUGCGACACGGUCCAGACUCCUACGGGAGGCAGCAGUGGGGAAUAUGGCACAAUGGGCGCAAGCCUGAUGCAGCCAUGCCGGGUGUAUGAAGAAGGCCUUCGGGUUGUAAAGUACUUUCAGCGGGGAGGCGUUACCCGGAGAAGAAGCACCGGCUAACUACGUGCCAGCAGCCGCGGUAAUUC